ACCAUCAAUAGCAACUACUUCCCCAUUGGCCGCGCAACUGUCAUCAGCAUCUCGUCCCACCCACUACUGCGACUCUCCUUCCCCACUUCCGUCCCUCCAUCGUCUUCCCCGGCCACAACUCGUCGUCGUUGCUUACUUCUACCAUCAUGCCCUAGUAUUUCUCACACCCUAUUGUAACAAUUCAUUACACAGUAGACGGCCUCUACACUUUCCUCGCCGCAACUUCGUCUCUGCGUUCUCCCAUGUUUUCCCCCGCCCGCACCUCCCCCUCCCCCUUCUAGUCUUCGUUGCUCGCUUCUCAUUCCUAGUCGCGACCUGGCCAAUGAUCUUAUUACUCAGAAUCAGGAAUAAUUACACUAUAAAAGGAAGGAGAGGUGGAGAAUAAACAAGAAAAGUAGCACCAGAGGCAAGACUGCUCAUAAUCCGAGGUCAAAUUCUAGCCUAAUUGUGAUUGGUAUUUGAAAAUAAGAUGAGUCAUAGAUGAUUCCAGUUUCUUUUUCAGUGUCUUGGUUUUCCUGCAGUUCGUCCAAUAAAGAACUCUACAUUCGACAGCAGUUCACCAGGAAACAGCUACAUCACAUAUUCACAUUCUAGUUAAAUGUGAUUGGUAAUCAGUUUGAGCCACAGAUCAUUUCAGUUUAGCGGUUUCAAGCUGCAAGUCUAGUUAAAAACUUCACUACAGCAAUUUAGCAACCUAAGCACCCUAUCAUGGGAGUUCAAGUUUUCAACGCAUGCCCUCUUCUUUGUACCCAUGUGUCUAAACCACUGAAUUUUCCUUUCUUU